rnacentral:rRNA from 1 species
GAUGAACGCUAGCUACAGGCUUAACACAUGCAAGUCGAGGGGUAGCAGGGUAGCAAUACCGCUGACGACCGGCGCACGGGUGAGUCACACGUAUCCAACCUUCGCAUAACUCGGGGAGAGCCUUUCGAAAGAAAGAUUAAUACCCGAUAGUACUUUAUUAAGGCAUCUUAAGAAAGUUAAAUAUUUAUUGGUUAUGGAUGGGGAUGCGUUCCAUUAGAUAGUUGGUGAGGUAACGGCUCACCAAGUCUUCGAUGGAUAGGGGUUCUGAGAGGAAGGUCCCCCACAUUGGUACUGAGACACGGACCAAACUCCUACGGGAGGCAGCAGUGAGGAAUAUUGGUCAAUGGGCGAGAGCCUGAACCAGCCAAGUAGCGUGAAGGAUGAAGGUCCUAUGGAUUGUAAACUUCUUUUAUAGUAGAAUAAAGUGAACCACGUGUGGUUUUUUGUAUGUAUACUAUGAAUAAGGAUCGGCUAACUCCGUGCCAGCCGCCGCGGUAA